UCCUGGGAACCAGCAUUAUCUCUUUCUAUGAGUUCAACUUUUUUUUUUAGAUUCCACAUAUAAGUGAGAUGAUGCAGUAUUUGUCUUUCUCUGUCUGGCUAAUUUCACUCUGCACAAUGUCCUCUAGAUUCAUCCAUUGUUGCAAAUGGCAGAUAUUGCUUGUACAGCAAUUCCUUCUCUGCUGGAGAUUCUCCUGAGACUUUCAUCAGCUAUAACCAAGGAAGCUGGUGGGGAUGGUCUGUGCUUGAUCCUAAAAAGAGAGGAGAGCAUCUCAUUGCCCAUAAUGCCAAGACAAGCUGCAGAGGGAGUGGGGCUCAAUAAACGCUUGCAGUUGAAUGGAAUUGUAUACUCCUUGUGCUCAUAUCAUCUGCUUCUCUACAACCAAGCCCUGUUCAAUGGGAGUCAAGGUGUCAGGGGUUUCAGAAGCAAUCACUCCUGCUUUGUUCUCCCAAGUAUCUGGAUAUUUCUAUCACAGCAACUCUAGUCAUUGUAUUUCCUGUACUGAUUCACACGUCUGUCUGGACGAAACAAUUUUACUCAAAUUCUUCACUUACAUUUUGACACGUGUCUUCAUCUUCGGGAGAGUCACUUUUUGAGCCAUCUAACAGUUUUCCAACUUCAAAUCUUUUGAAAUAAAAGAAUUUUUAAAUUGUUUGAGAUAAAAAUACCUUUGAAUUGGCAUAUGGUGCAAUAAUUGGGAAUUUUAUCCACCAACAAAAUAGCCAAUAGUGAAACAGUAAGACAGUUGUUUUUCAUUGUCUUUUAAGACAUUUA
rnacentral:lncRNA from 1 species